GGGUCUUUUUAUAUUACCCCUACAUGAUUUAAAAAAUAUUUUAUAUAAAAUUUAAUAUAUUUUCCAUCACCCAACAUUCCUUUUCCUCUCAUAAAAUACAACUCUCAAGAAUCUUAGAUAAAUUAGGCUCGAGAAUCAAGUCUAGCCUCUUUCGUUCCAAUCACAAAUUUUCUCAAGAGUUUUGAGGCAUCUAAAACAAGCAAUUUGUGGAUGGUUCAAGACGACAAUCUGACAAUGAGGAAAUAAUUCGUGGUGUUUGAUGAUAUAUGAUAAAGUUGAUAUCAAAUACCAAAACAAGGUCUAAUUAUGAUGGAAAAGCAACAACAUAGUAAGGAACUCAAUGACAAUGGAUGGAGCUUACUUGGAUGAAAUCUGGAAAAUCCGAGCACAUGGGCGUUCCAUGCCCUUGGAUCUCUAUGUUAAGGGCAUUCCAAACCCUUAUGAAAAACAAAAUAUCCAAUUCUAGUAAGCCUUAGUGAUAAGGAAUUUCCACUCUCUGAUCACGCCAAAGAAAGAGCAUGGCACACACAUGGUUCCAAAACAAGCAGUUGGCUCCCAUUAUAAAUAGGAUACUCCUAUCUUGUUGUACACACCUUGGAUGACGUUUGGGGCUUCGAAUACACUUGAGAAGCCUUCUAUUAGGAUUUUAAUCCUUUUCUUUAAUUUACUUUUGCAUUAUAUACAUGAAUUUUAUUAUUGUGAUUUGUUGUAACUACUGAAUGGCUAAACACCCUUUUCUAGGGUUUAGGCAAGGAACAUGAUUACUUAAGCUUAUAAUUGAGUUUAUUUAUUCUUAUUAUCAU